rnacentral:lncRNA from 1 species
UUGUUUGUCAUUGUCACCAGCCAUUGUCGUGGAGGAAGCCAACUUGUUGUUUUGGUACAUGUGAAAUUGUGAAUUGGUUGAUCUUCAGAUUGAAUAACUGAAUUUAACUUUAACUUUAUAGUGAACAGUGGUAAAUCAUAAUAACGUGGUAUAAAUGGGCGAAAGCGAGACAUUAACAUUGAGAUGUUGACGUGUGGAUUGAUGAAGAAAGCUUUCAAGCAUGGUGUCUAAAGCUCAUGCACGCUCAUGCAUCACCUCUACUGGAAAUGUACCUGAACAAUUAUCACCUCGGAAACAGUGUUCCACCUCAUCAGACUGAAUGUGGCAACAGGCUCAGAGGUGAUCAAGGCUGAAAUAUCACCAUAACGAAAGUGUACAUUGGACAAAUAUCAUCUCGAAAAAUUGUUUUUCAACCCCAUCGUACUGAAAGGGACAAGCCCGGAAUAAAAGAAGUUGGGGGUCGCUUUUUGGAGAACUACUUCCUUCAGCGGACAGCCGAGGACAGAGAUGGGAGCCGGAUUUUCUCCAACCUUGCCGAUUCACACGCACCUGAUAAAUUCACAGUUUCGAGUGUCGGACGGAGGCAGUGAAGUGCAGGAAAGGAACGCGCCAAAGAUCAUGAGAGUUCGGUAACGCACACCUGUGAAGACAAAAUCCCCUCUUCUUGGAAACUAUUCACAGUGGCAUCAUGUGAACUCCCAAGUUACAAACUUCGUUGGGGUCCGUUACGAGUUCAAAUAACUAUUUGUUACGUCCAUGAGAUCGUGAGUUGGCGUCCGAUGUCAGUCUACAACGCAGUUUCUUUAUUGAAUUGUGUGGUCCUAGCACGGAGAUCCUUGAGGCAAUGCUGGCUUUUGUUCAUGAAAGAAGAGUGGCUUUCACCAACGUUCUGCUACAUCCGUAUCUUCAAGACGUACGAGCAGCCAGCUUCACUGCUUCGUAAAUGCUGCUGCUACACAAUUUGUCUUCACUGUCGAGUUAGAUCACUUCAGUGUUCGCUUCGAUCCGCUGUGACACACCUGCAGUCACUCGCCACGGGAUUAUGCCCAGGAGAAAAUGUGAAAGGGGCAUGCAGC